rnacentral:rRNA from 1 species
GUGGGGAAUCUUCCGCAAUGGACGAAAGUCUGACGGAGCAACGCCGCGUGAGUGAUGAAGGUCUUCGGAUUGUAAAGCUCUGUUAAUCGGGACGAAAGAGCCUAGUGUGAAUAAUGCUAGGAAGUGACGGUACCGGAAUAGAAAGCCACGGCUAACUACGUGCCAGCAGCCGCGGUAAUACGUAGGUGGCAAGCGUUGUCCGGAAUUAUUGGGCGUAAAGCGCGCGCAGGCGGAUCUGCCAGUCUGUCUUAAAAGUUCGGGGCUUAACCCCGUGAUGGGAUGGAAACUACAGAUCUAGAGUAUCGGAGAGGAAAGUGGAAGUCCUAGUGUAGCGGUGAAAUGCGUAGAUAUUAGGAAGAACACCAGUGGCGAAGGCGACUUUCUGGACGAAAACUGACGCUGAGGCGCGAAAGCCAGGGGAGCGAACGGGAUUAGAAACCCGUGUAGUCC